UACGGAGGGGGCUAGCGUUGUUCGGAAUUACUGGGCGUAAAGCGCACGUAGGCGGACCUGCAAGUCGGGGGUGAAAGCCUGUGGCUCAACCACAGAAUUGCCUUCGAUACUGGGGAUCUCGAGACCGGAAGAGGUGAGUGGAACUGCGAGUGUAGAGGUGAAAUUCGUAGAUAUUCGCAAGAACACCAGUGGCGAAGGCGGCUCACUGGUCCGGUACUGACGCUGAGGUGCGAAAGCGUGGGGAGCAACAGGG
rnacentral:rRNA from 1 species